rnacentral:rRNA from 1 species
GGGGUGCUCGAGUGGCGAACGGGUGAGUAACACGUGAGUAACCUGCCCUUGACUUUGGGAUAACUUCAGGAAACUGGGGCUAAUACCGGAUAGGAGCUCCUGCUGCAUGGUGGGGGUUGGAAAGUUUCGGCGGUUGGGGAUGGACUCGCGGCUUAUCAGCUUGUUGGUGGGGUAGUGGCUUACCAAGGCGGCGACGGGUAGCCGGCCUGAGAGGGUGUACGGCCACAUUGGGACUGAGAUACGGCCCAG